GAUGAACGCUGGCGGCGUGCCUAAUACAUGCAAGUCGAGCGAACAGACGAGGAGCUUGCUCCUCUGACGUUAGCGGCGGACGGGUGAGUAACACGUGGAUAACCUACCUAUAAGACUGGGAUAACUUCGGGAAACCGGAGCUAAUACCGGAUAAUAUAUUGAACCGCAUGGUUCAAUAGUGAAAGACGGUUUUGCUGUCACUUAUAGAUGGAUCCGCGCCGCAUUAGCUAGUUGGUAAGGUAACGGCUUACCAAGGCAACGAUGCGUAGCCGACCUGAGAGGGUGAUCGGCCACACUGGCACUGAGACACGGUCCAGACUCCUACGGGAGGCAGCAGUAGGGAAUCUGCCGCAAUGGGCGAAAGCUUGACGGAGCAACGCCGCGUGAGAGAUGAAGGCCUUCGGAUCGUAAAACUCUGUUAUUAGGGAAGAACAAAUGUGUAAGUAACUAUGCACGGCUUGACGGUACCUAAUCAGAAAGCCACGGCUAACUACGUG
rnacentral:rRNA from 1 species